UAUAUUUUAAUGUUUAAGCAUAAAAAUUUUUGAAAUUUUUAGUGAUAGUUAAAUCUAUUAAAUAUAA
rnacentral:tRNA from 1 species